rnacentral:lncRNA from 1 species
CCCCCUCUCUCUCUGGUCUUCUCCAUGCCCUAGAACCAAGAAACCUAGGGUUUCUUGGCUGCCAACCCAAAAAGGAAAAAAAGGAACCAGCGCUGCCUCUUUUACACACCCCUGUUUUGAGCGCCCCCUCUUAGCCACCCAAGAAGAGUUUCAGGUCCUAAUUUUUUUUGAUUUUGAAGGCUUCAACAAGUGUACUUCUAGGUCUCAAAAGGUAGAUUUCAGAUCUAAUGGAGAAGGGGUUCAAAUCGAAGAAAGAAAUCC